rnacentral:rRNA from 1 species
CGAACGGGUGAGUAACGCGUGAGGAACCUGCCUCAAAGAGGGGGACAACAGUUGGAAACGACUGCUAAUACCGCAUAAGCCCACGGCUCGGCAUCGAGCAGAGGGAAAAGGAGUGAUCCGCUUUGAGAUGGCCUCGCGUCCGAUUAGCUAGUUGGUGAGGUAACGGCCCACCAAGGCGACGAUCGGUAGCCGGACUGAGGGGUUGAACGGCCACAUUGGGACUGAGACACGGCCCAG